AUGCACUAGGGGCGUUUUAAACUGAGACAGACCUGAAAAAGUCUGAACCCUUUGUACCUGAUCUAGAUUAUACUAGCGUAGGAAAGUGUUC
rnacentral:ncRNA from 1 species